AUGAUCACCGAAGUUAAGCAUCAUUGGGCGCGGUCAGUACUUGGGUGGGUGACCACCUGGGAACACUGCGUGCCGUU
rnacentral:rRNA from 1 species